rnacentral:lncRNA from 1 species
GUUGCAGUAGUCGGUGCGCGCUAAUGCGCGCGACUACAUCCGCGUGUCGUGGUCUUACGCGCGCGCAGGUGCGGGCGGCCCGAUCGCUGCCAUUCUUUUUUCGAUUUCCAAGCUCUAACUAUGAGUUAGAGCUCGUCGGCCUUGCGAGAUGUCUCAAUUUUCUUCACUUGGGCGAACGGAGAACAUAGAAAAGCAACAAAUGAAUACAUUUGUCUAAAUUUGUAUGAUGAACCAAGUGAAGAUUUCCCAUAGGCCACCGGAUGAAAUCCAGUUAAAUGUUCGAUGGCUAAUGAACGACAUUAUACACUCAUACGUAUCUACGUGAUCUUCUCCUACCGUCAACAAAGACCAAUGACUUAACGAGAUGGAAGAGGUGGAGGAGAGGAGACACGCGGAGGACUACGAUCACGAUGACGACGACGACGAAGACGACGACGACGACGACUUUAGAAUCGAGCAAUAGAAGGUGCUCUCUCGAGGUCGCUGUCCACCCUGAGGUCACCCUCCUAUACCCACCGACCGAACAAUAUCCGAUGGGAACCCUUUAAGAAGGAGAGGAGGAAUGGAGAAGCAGAAAAAGAAAAAGAAGGAGAAAGAUACGCGUCAUCCAGAGGAGUAAAAGCGAGAAAGAAAGAUAGCUGAGGGACAAUGCGAGACUUUGUUCAGAGGCACGCAGAACACCCGUGCAGCACGUAGAGAGUCUUUGAUAGAGGGGAGGAAGACGUCGACAUCGACGUCGACGACACGACGGCGACGACGACGACGACGACGACGACGACGAUGAAGGCGACGACGGAGACGUCGUCUGGAGUCUCGGUGAACCCGUGCAACGAAUCGAUUUUACGAGAGUCUUUUUUUCCAGAGGGUGAAGAAGGAAGAGGAUGGUUAAAACGAAAUGGAUGGGCUCGCGAGAAGAAGACUCCUCACUCUCUCUUUCUCUUGCAUUUUAUUCCACUGUGAUUUCUUUCAAUUCGGUUAAAAUCUUUGGAUAAGUCCGUGAAAAAUCAAGAAAACAAACUGCCUCGACGAAUCGAAUACCUUUAUUUAGCUUUUUUUCGAAUAUCGAGAAAAAAUAUUUAUUAUAUAUUGUGACCGCCAUGUUGUUAGAAUUGCGUCACGUGACCACGUGCAGCCAUCUUGAUUAUUCGUAUAAUUAACGAAACAAUAGAUAUUUAAAGAUAAAUAUUAUCGCGAUAGAUAAUCUUAACAGGAAUAAGCUUAUUUCUACGAAUUGUUAAGAUUAUUUUUAUCUUUCGUAUCCCCAUUUAUGGUCUACAUACUUAUCUCAUCCUACUUGUUUGACUUUUAGUUUUAAUCGCAAAUGAAAAUUCUUGAACGACGCAUUGAGACGCGCCAUGAUAAAGCGUCGCGCACGAGCUACGAAUGGCUUGCACGUAUAUUAAUCCUCCGGCAACAACCUUCCACAAAGUAAAUACAACGUGACCAAUGUCAAGGCUAACGCUGCUACUCGCGCUGCCGUUCGCUGCCGCGCGUGUGCGGUGAGUGCAGCAGGCGCUCGCGCUCAUUGCACAAAUCUCAUAGGCUCUCUCGUUAUAGAAACGCGCGAACUCGUACGCAACCGAUAUUAAAGCGCAUUAUUCUUAUCGCUCGAUUUUCCAUCGAAAAUAAUCGCUACUCGUUGCACGCGUUUGGAUCAUGCGAAUAUCGUUUAUAAUUAGACUCAAAUAUUCAUUCGAAUUGACUCCGGGACACAACUUGGAUUAUUUUUGAUUUUAUUUUGAUUUUAUUUAGAUUUUAUUUUGAUCGCGCAUUAUCUCGACCAGUUAAUAAAUGAAUAUAUUAUUUAUCGCGCGUACGUCGUAAAGAUCUCAUGUAGAAAUGUCUCUUCUUAGAAAAUGUAAGAAGGUUGCGUACGCGCGCGCACGCGUCAAAACGGACAUCGAACAAAGGAUCGUUAACGCUCGUGCGCUCGUGCGCGCGUGCGCCUUUGUACGACUCUCUCCACUCCUCUUUCUCAUUCCUCAAGACGAAACCAAUUUCAUUGCGUUUCAUUAAGAUAACGCGUCCGCACGAUCCGGCUAACGCCUGGCCCGGUAGAAACUCGUAAAAGUGACUCGUACAUCGAGUCGAGUGUUACGUUGUUACAAUCAGGGACUCGCUUUCACGGAAAGGAAAUCAUUCUUACCGAUCGUAGUCAACUUUUCAGUAUUUUACAUAGAGACCAGGGAAAGCUUUUGUAAGUUAGGAAAUAAUGAGGUGAAAGAAAUUCAUGUUUUUCACCGUUAGGCUCCUACUACUCUAUUCAUUAUCGAUAUGAAUUAUAUUGAGGAACUAUUAUAACUGUGAGAAUGUUAGAGGAAUAAUAAAUGCUAAUAAUUAUGCACCAUAA